GACGAACGCUGGCGGCGUGCUUAACACAUGCAAGUCGAACGAAGUGGCGAAGGGGUGAGUAAUACGUGGGUAACCUGAGCUCCUUUUUGGGAUAAGCCUUGGAAACGGGGUCUAAUACCGAACAAAGGGGGAGGGGCUCGCGGCCUAUCGGCUUGUUGGUGGGGUGAUGGCCUACCAAGGCGGUGACGGGUAGCCGGCCUGAGAGGUUAAACGGCCACAUUGAGACGGAGAGACGUCCCAGGCUACGCCGGGGGGGGGCAGUGGGGGAUAUUGCACAAUGGGCGAUGGACGGAUGCAGCGACGCCGAGUGGGGGAUGCGGGCUUUAGGGUUGUAAAACUCUUGCGCAAUCGAACCGGUAGGUGGAGAAGAAGCGCCGGCUAACUACGUGCCAGCAGCCGCGGUAAUAC
rnacentral:rRNA from 1 species